rnacentral:rRNA from 1 species
GAUGAACGCUGGCGGCGUGCCUAAUACAUGCAAGUCGAGCGAACGGACGAGAAGCUUGCUGCUCUGAUGUUAGCGGCGGACGGGUGAGUAACACGUGGAUAACCUACCUAUAAGACUGGGAUAACUUCGGGAAACCGGCGCUAAUACCGGAUAAUAUUUUGAACCGCAUGGUUCAAAAGUGAAAGACGGUCUUGCUGUCACUUAUAGAUGGAUCCGCGCUGCAUUAGCUAGUUGGUAAGGUAACGGCUUACCAAGGCAACGAUGCAUAGCCGACCUGAGAGGGUGAUCGGCCACACUGGAACUGAGACACGGUCCAGACUCCUACGGGAGGCCGCAGUAGGGAAUCGUCCGCAAUGGGCGAAAGCCUGACGGAGCAACGCCGCGUGAGUGAUGAAGGUCUUCGGAGCGUAAAACUCUGUUAUUAGGGAAGAACAUAUGUGUAAGUAACUGUGCACAGCUUGACGGUACCUAAUCAGAAAGCCACGGCUAACUACGUG